AAUAAUUCCUUCAUUUGGAUACUCCAGUCUCCAUAAUUUGUGCCCGUCAACAUUGGAACUUGGGCUUCCAGGAAACUUACCAUUCUUUUUCUCGAACGAAACCUCGGCUCUGAUGCCACUUGUUGGAAACGUGUAUGGCAUUUAUACACUAAUAUAUGUAAUAUAACCGGAGAGCAAACACACUUUAUUUGUAAUGAUACAGAUGAAACUUUUGUUUUUCUUUACGCACACAAUAAUUAAUACAUAAGGCUACAGCCUCUUCCUUUAAUAUAGAGUAACAAACUCACAACACAGAGACCAGAGCUUCGGCUCCUUUCUUUUGCACUCUAUAUUUCUAAAUUCACUUCUAUUACAUUGAACACAAACAUAGCCUCUAUUUAUAAGCCACACAUAUGCUAACUGAUCUUAUUGCCUACACUACCCAGCUGUAUGCUGUAUUAAUUUAGCCACCUUAAUUCAUGGGAUCAAAUUUCUUUUCAAACUUGGACAGCAACAUCUCUUUAGAUGAUCUACGCGGUUUCAUUAAUACAUCUGACUUGCAUGUUGACAACUUCACAAUUCAAAUUACCAAGCUGCUGCAUCACCACUUAAUCACCUGCUUGUCACCUUUGUAUGUAAAUAGCCUACCAUAUAUCCUGGAUUCAACAUAUGACCAGCUGCUGCAUUAACUAGUAUUCCUUGUUUCACAUGGUUGCCUUCCUUUAACUACUCUAGCAUAGUUAUACAU
rnacentral:lncRNA from 1 species